GUYUUUUUGUUUAAAAUUUAAAGUCGGGCCUGCCCACUGAAAAUUUAAAUGGCCGUGGUAUUUUGACCGUGCUAAGGUAGCAUAAUCAUUAGUUUUUUAAUUGAAAGCUGGAAUGAAAGGUUUGAUAAAAAAAUAACUGUCUCUAUUUAAUUUUAUUAAAAAUUUAUUUUUAAGUUCAAAAGCUUAAUUUUGAUUAAAAGACGAGAAGACCCUAUAGAGUUUAAUAAUUUAGGAUAACUUGUAUUUUAGAAUUAAUUUAUUUAUUUUUUAAAAUUAUUUAAUUGGGGUGAUUGAAAAAUUUAAUUAACUUUUUUUAUAUUUAACCAUUAAUUUAUGAUAAUUUGAUCCAAUUUUUUUGAUUAUAAGAUAAAAUUACCUUAGGGAUAACAGCGUAAUUUUUUUAGAAAGUUCAAAUUAAAAGAAAAGAUUGCGACCUCGAUGUUGGAUUAAAAUUAAAUUUUGGUGUAGAAGCUAAAAAUUUGAGUCUGUUCGACUUUUAAAAUUUUACA
rnacentral:rRNA from 1 species